rnacentral:lncRNA from 1 species
GGAAAGCCCACCCCAAGGGAACAAUCAGGGAAGAAGGAACGCAAGACGGUGGAAGCAUGCCAACCUAUUAAACCGCAAGUCAGAGAUCAAACCAUAUCCUCAUUUGAAAAUGGAAAAAGAAAAGAAAUGGAGGCAUUGUGUGAUAUUUGCCUAAAUAUAACUAAAGAGAUCCAUUUAUUUUUAGUGUUUGAUUAAAAACCCUCAAAGGAAAAGAGAAAUUUUGAUCUUUGAGAAGAGCUGUUUCAUCACAGGGUGAAGUUGUUUCCUGAGCCCUUUGAUCUGAAAUGACCUUGCGACCUGGAACCAGCAGACAGCCUGAGGGAGGCAGUGCAUGUUCUGAGCCAGGGCCUCAGGAGGCCUGCAGCUGCCAUUCUGCUUCUGUUGGAACAUGACCUCCUUGAGAACACUCCCAGGCCUGACUGCAGGGUGGGGAGACCACACAGAGCAGAGCCGAGCCACCGGGAUGAGGCCCCUAGAUCACCCAGCUCCCAGCUGACCACAGAUCAUGAGUGAUCCCGUUUCUCCCUAGGUCAAGGGUGAUGUUUUGCUCAGAGAAAACUGAAGUUUGGAUUGUUCCAGUCCUGCAUCACAUCCUGUUUCAGGCUGCCCUAAAACAAAACCAGAAACAACCAUCACCACAAAACACCAUACCUUCAAUAGUCUUCUCAGUGUUCAGAAUAAAGGCUCUGGUUUUCC